CCUCUGUAGUCUAAGAGGUGCCCUUGGUUGUUGGUACCCUGGGCACACCAGGCUUGCAGAGAGAGCAGCAGCGUGAGGAAGCCGAGGCAUGGCUGUCAGAGCGCAGCAGCAGCAUGCGCAAUAUUCCUCCGACACGUGCCACUCUGUUGCCACGGAGGUAAUGACUGUUCCCGUGUCAUUAUUGAUCUGUCAACAGUAAGAGGAAUUUUGCAGUCUGAUAUUGUUUAGCAAAUAAGAGUAACGUCUGCUGAACACUGAAAAAACUGCUAUAAAA